rnacentral:rRNA from 1 species
AGUACUAAUUGGAGGACCGAACCCAAUACUGUUGCAAAAGUAUGGGAUGAGCUGUGGAUCGGAGUGAAAGGCUAAUCAAGCACGGAGAUAGCUGGUUCUCCCCGAAAACUAUUUAGGUAGUGCCUCGUGUAUAACUCAUUGGGGUAAAGCACUGUUUCGACAAUGGGGGUUUUACGACCUUACUGACUCGAUGCAAACUCAGAAUACGAUGAAGUUCGAUCACGGGAGACACACUGCGGGUGCUAAGGUCCGCAGUGGAAAGGGAAACAGCCCAGACCGCCAACUAAGGUCCCAAAGUCAUAGCUAAGUGGGAAACGAAGUGGGAAGGCCCAGACAGCCAGGAGGUUGGCUUAGAAGCAGCCACCCUUUAAAGAAAGCGUAAUAGCUCACUGGUCGAGUCGGCCUGCACGUAAGAUUUAACGGGGCUAAGCUAUGCACUGAAGUUGCGGAAUAUAUUUAGUAUAUUGGUAGGGGAGCGUUCUGUAAGCCGAUGAAGGUGAAUUGAGAAGUUUGCUGGAGGUAUCAGAAGUGCGAAUGCUGACAUGAGUAACGUAAAAUAAGUGAGAUUCUUAUUGGCCGAAAACCCAAGGGUUCCUACGCAAUGUUAAUCAACGUAGGGUAAGCCGGCCCCUAAGGCGUAGCUGAAGAGUGAAGUCGAUGGGAAACAGGUUAAUAUUCCUGUGCUGCUUAUAUGAACGAAGGAGGGACGGAGAAGGUUAGGUAGGCCUGGCGAAUGGUUGUCCAGGUGAAAGUAUGUAGGUAGGAAUGCUAGGCAAAUCCGGUGUUCUGUUGAUCUGAGAUACGAGACGAAGUUAAACUUGUUUGACGAAGCUAUUGAUACCAUGCUUCCAGGAAAAGCUUCUAAGUAUAUUGUAUAAGUGACCGUACUGUAAACCGACACUGGUGGGUAGGUAGAGAAUACUAAGGCUAUGAGAUAACUCUGGUGAAGGAACUAGGCAAAAUGACACCGUAACUUUGGAAGAAGGUGUGCCCUUGAUGGUGAUGAGACUUGCUCUUUGAGCUGUUGGGGGUUGCAGAUACCAGGUGGCUGCGACUGUUUAUCAAAAACACAGCACUCUGCGAAAUCGUAAGAUGAAGUAUAGGGUGUGACGCCUGCCCGGUGCUGGAAGGUUAAUUGAAGGGGUUAGCGCAAGCGAAGCUCUGGAUCGAAGCCCCAGUAAACGGCGGCCGUAACUAUAACGGUCCUAAGGUAGCGAAAUUCCUUGUCGGGUAAGUUCCGACCUGCACGAAUGGCGUAACGAUGGCCACACUGUCUCCACCAGAGACUCAGUGAAAUUGAAAUCGCUGUGAAGAUGCAGUGUACCCGCGGUUAGACGGAAAGACCCCGUGAACCUUUACUAUAGCUUUGCACUGGACUUUGAAUAUUUAUGUGUAGGAUAGGUGGGAGACCAUGAAGCAGCUACGCCAGUAGUUGUGGAGUCGUCCUUGAAAUACCACCCUUGAAUAUUUGAAGUUCUAACUCAGGAGAGAUUCGAGGACAGUGUAUGGUGGGUAGUUUGACUGGGGCGGUCUCCUCCUAAAGAGUAACGGAGGAGUACGAAGGUGCACUCGGUACGGUCGGAAAUCGUGCCAAGAGUAUAAAGGCAAAAGUGCGCUUGACUGCGAGAGUGACGGCUCGAGCAGG